rnacentral:rRNA from 1 species
AGCGGCAGACGGGUGAGUAACGCGUGGGAAUCUACCCUUUACUACGGAAUAACGCAUGGAAACGUGUGCUAAUACCGUAUGUGUCCUUCGGGAGAAAGAUUUAUCGGUAAAGGAUGAGCCCGCGUUGGAUUAGCUAGUUGGUGGGGUAAAGGCCUACCAAGGCGACGAUCCAUAGCUGGUCUGAGAGGAUGAUCAGCCACAUUGGGACUGAGACACGGCCCAAACUCCUACGGGAGGCAGCAGUGGGGAAUAUUGGACAAUGGGCGCAAGCCUGAUCCAGCCAUGCCGCGUGAGUGAUGAAGGCCCUAGGGUUGUAAAGCUCUUUCACCGGAGAAGA